AGAGUUUGAUCCUGGCUCAGAACGAACGCUGGCGGCGCGUCUUAAACAUGCAAGUCGAACGGUAAGGAAGGAGCUUGCUCCUUUCUGAGAGUGGCGGACUGGUGAGUAACACGUGGGUGACAUACCUUUUAGAUGGGGAUAGCUAUUAGAAAUAGUAGGUAAUACCGAAUGUGACCGUAUCUGUUAGAGGGAUACGAGGAAAGGAGCUAAGGCUUCGCUAAAAGAAUGGCCCGCGGCCCAUUAUGCUCGUUGGUGAGGUAACGGCCCACCAAGGCGAUGAUGGGUAUCCGGCCUGAGAGGGUGGACGGACACAUUGGGACUGAGAUACGGCCCAGACUUCUACGGGAGGCAGCAGUUAAGAAUAUUCCGCAAUGGACGAAAGUCUGACGGAGCGACGCCGCGUGGAUGAAGAAUGCCGAAAGGUUGUAAAAUCCUUUUAAGCCUGAGGAAUAAGCACAGUAGGGAAUGAUUGUGUGGUGACUGUAGGGCUUGAAUAAGCACCGGCAAAUUACGUGCCAGCAGCCGCGGUAACACGUAAGGUGCGAGCGUUGUUCGGAAUUAUUGGGCGUAAAGGGCAUGUAGGCGGAUGAGCAAGCUUGGUGUGAAAUGCUACAGCUUAACUGUGGGACAGCAUUGAGAACUGCACAUCUUGAAUUACUGAAGGGUAACUAGAAUUCCACGUGUAGGGGUGAAAUCUGUAGAUAUGUGGAAGAAUACCAAUGGCGAAGGCAAGUUACCGGCAGAUAAUUGACGCUGAGGUGCGAAAGUGCGGGGAGCGAACAGGAUUAGAUACCCUGGUAGUCCGCACAGUAAACGAUGUACACUAGGUGUCUGGCAACAAAGCUGGGUGCCAAAGCAAACGUGGUAAGUGUACCGCCUGGGGAGUAUGCCCGCAAGGGUGAAACUCAAAGGAAUUGAC
rnacentral:rRNA from 1 species